rnacentral:rRNA from 1 species
UGGGGAAUAUUGCACAAUGGGGGAAACCCUGAUGCAGCGACGCCGCGUGAGCGAAGAAGUAUUUCGGUAUGUAAAGCUCUAUCAGCAGGGAAGAAAAAUGACGGUACCUGACUAAGAAGCCCCGGCUAACUACGUGCCAGCAGCCGCGGUAAUACGUAGGGGGCGAGCGUUAUCCGGAUUUACUGGGUGUAAAGGGAGCGUAGACGGCUGGUCAAGUCUGAAGUGAAAGCCCGGGGCUUAACCCCGGAACGGCUUUGGAAACUGAGCAGCUAGAGUGCUGGAGAGGUAAGCGGAAUUCCUAGUGUAGCGGUGAAAUGCGUAGAUAUUAGGAGGAACACCAGUGGCGAAGGCGGCUUACUGGACAGCAACUGACGUUGAGGCUCGAAAGCGUGGGGAGCAAACAGG